rnacentral:rRNA from 1 species
UACGAAGGGGGGCUAGCGUUGUUCGGAAUUACUGGGCGUAAAGCGCGCGCAGGCGGCUCUUCAAGUCAGGGGUGAAAGCCCAGAGCUCAACUCUGGAACUGCCUUUGAGACUGAAGAGCUUGAGUACGGGAGAGGUGAGUGGAAUUCCCAGUGAUAGAGGUGAAAUUCGUAGAUAUUAGGAAGAACAACCAGUGGCGAAGGCGGCCACCUGGCUCGGUACUGACGCUCAGG